rnacentral:RNase_P_RNA from 1 species
AGCAGGACAGGUAAUCGCGCUAGAUCACUUUACGAUAGUAAAGUGGUCUAGUGAGGAAAGUCCGGGCUUCACAGGGCAGGAUGCCGGAUAACGUCCGGUUGAGGUGACUCACAGGAAAGUGCAACAGAAAACAUACCGCCACACUCCCGUCUGAUUCGUCAGCGGGAUAAGGGUAAGGUUGAAAAGGCGAGGUAAGAGCUCACCGCCUGGCUGGUAACAGACAGGGCAUUGUAAACCCCAUCCGAAGCAAGACCAAGCAGAAGUGUUGACGCGGCCCGCCGAGCUUCAGGUAGGUUGCUAGAGCCAUGCAGCAAUGUAUGGUCCAGAUAGAUGAUUACCCCGGAAGAUUUUCUUCUAUGACAUAACCCGGCUUAUAGUUCUACUCGU